CGGCCUUUUGGCUAAGAUCAAGUGUAGUA
rnacentral:piRNA from 5 species